rnacentral:rRNA from 1 species
AGAGUUUGAUCCUGGCUCAGAGCGAACGCUGGCGGCAGGCUUAACACAUGCAAGUCGAGCGGGCGUAGCAAUACGUCAGCGGCAGACGGGUGAGUAACGCGUGGGAACAUACCUUUUGGUUCGGAACAACACAGGGAAACUUGUGCUAAUACCGGAUAAGCCCUUACGGGGAAAGAUUUAUCGCCGAAAGAUUGGCCCGCGUCUGAUUAGCUAGUUGGUGAGGUAAUGGCUCACCAAGGCGACGAUCAGUAGCUGGUCUGAGAGGAUGAUCAGCCACAUUGGGACUGAGACACGGCCCAAACUCCUACGGGAGGCAGCAGUGGGGAAUAUUGGACAAUGGGCGCAAGCCUGAUCCAGCCAUGCCGCGUGAGUGAUGAAGGCCCUAGGGUUGUAAAGCUCUUUUGUGCGGGAAGAUAAUGACGGUACCGCAAGAAUAAGCCCCGGCUAACUUCGUGCCAGCAGCCGCGGUAAUACGAAGGGGGCUAGCGUUGCUCGGAAUCACUGGGCGUAAAGGGUGCGUAGGCGGGUCUUUAAGUCAGGGGUGAAAUCCUGGAGCUCAACUCCAGAACUGCCUUUGAUACUGAGGAUCUUGAGUUCGGGAGAGGUGAGUGGAACUGCGAGUGUAGAGGUGAAAU